UCCGGAUGCAAGUGUCUUUCUGCUAAAUCUGCCGUUGUUUUGCCAAGAUCCAGAAAUCAGCAAUGCAAAUAGAGAAGUGGAGGAGGGGAUGUUUACACACCAUGGUACUUAAGUCUCACUCUUGGGUCACCUUAAUAUCAUUUUAGUCCCUAUCACUUCCCAGAUUUGCUGAGCAAAGGCAUUGCUGUAUGAAGACACCUUCCUUUUGCUACCUAAGAUCCUCUGCCAGCGAACCUACAUGCUUUCUUGCCUUUUUGGAGUCUCUUAAGAGUGCCAGCUUCCAUUAUAAGAGGGUGAAAUGCUAUCGGGUGAACGGGUAGUGGCAGCGGUGGGUGGUUUGGAGAACCGGUAGCAGCGGCAGCGCGAGCUCCACCCACCCGCCCGGACGUCAUUACUUCCAGGUUUUAACCAGGAAGUAACCUGUUUUUUACCCAGAAGGCUUUGUGCAUGCGCAAAGGGUCCAAAAUCACACAUGAUGCACGCAUGUGGACUUCCAAACCAGUAGGGAAAGAAGGUCAUCUGCCCGCUUCCUGCCAUCUGUGAGUUGUCUGACAAGUAAACCUCCCAUGAAGAGGUGCUGAAAGGCUUAAUUAUGAAUUGUGGCAGGGACAUCAUUUUAAGGAACACCAUGGAAGAGUGAUGAAGUGAAGGGACAGCAACAACUUUUAUCAGUAAAGGCCUGGCCACUCAAUCCAAUAUAGCACAACCAACACAAGCCAUAAAAAGAAUAAUACUACCAUGCAUCAAGAACAUCUCAGGACCCACCAACAGGCUACUACAACCACAUGGCAUGAGUGCGCCCCACAAACCAACUAAAGCCAUUUGAAACAUCCUAAGUAAAUCAAAAGACCUAGUAUCCUCAAAAGAAAAAAAAAACAGGAAUAAUCUACAACAUACAGAAACAGUGGAAUGACUGUAACAUCCACUAUAUAAGAUAAACAGGCAGAAGACUUGCAGAACACAUCCAUGAACACCAACUAGCAGUCAGAGGACAUGAUGAAAACUCUUUAAUUUCACAACAUAUGGACAGACUUAACCAUAAUUCCAUCUGGAAAACUAUGACUCUCCUAGACCAAGACAAGUCCAAAAAUGCCAGGGAACUUCCAGCAUCCUGGCACUCUGACUAAUUAGCCAUCAAUAGACACAUAGACAUAAACAACAUCUACAUAUUAUGCAAAAGAGACAAUCAACAAGCCAAAAUAGAACAAAAAAACCCAAAACACCUCCCCACCAGCAAUCAGCACCCAGAUGAGCAUAGAUUAACUCCAAGAUUAACAUCAGAUCAACAAUAAGAAGUAAACAAUACCCCAAUCAAGGAACUGCCAAAGAAGCUGACAGUAAACAGCCCAACCAAAGAACCUCUAAGACAGGGGUGUCAAACUCACAUCGUCAUGGUGGUGUCACAUGACGUAUUGGAACUUUUUCCCCCUUCGCUAAACCGGGCAGGUGGGAACCAUCACAUGAUGCAUCCAAUCCGCAGGCCGCGAGUUUGACACCACUGCUCUAAGAUCACCCCCACUAACACUGACAGGCCACUAGAAUAUAAACUGAGAGCAAACCCCACUCCUUGCUAGCACUGAUCACUUUACCUACUUUGGGUAAUAAAAUGUCUGCAAGAAAACAAGCAAGCUCCGAGAGCACCAAGAAUCCCUCACAGCAUAAACUACUUGAUGCCUCCCAACUCCUUGUCUUAGGGGGGGUGCAACAGAUUACACAGCAAGGACCUGGAAUCUAUUUUUCUAUGCCACUGAGUAUUGGCUGCCUUGCCAAAGAAUGCGCCUCUGCACUGAUGGUUAGAAGCUGGGUCUGGAUUCUUAAAAUAUCCUUAAAAACCUUAAUCAACUGUAUUGUGAUGAUCGGAUGCUUGAGGUGCAAUCUGGUCAUUCUAAAGCUGCAGGUUGUUUUGUUUUCUUUAUAAAAUCCUAAUUGCCAUAAAGCAUAACGUCCUGAGUGCUAUGAUAAAUGUAAGUGCAGAUUAUAGAAAGGAGC